rnacentral:rRNA from 1 species
UACGGAGGGUGCAAGCGUUAUCCGGAUUCACUGGGUUUAAAGGGUGUGUAGGCGGGCUAUUAAGUCAGUGGUGAAAUCUCCGGGCUCAACCCGGAAACUGCCAUUGAUACUAUUAGUCUUGAAUAUUGUUGAGGUAGGCGGAAUAUAUCAUGUAGCGGUGAAAUGCAUAGAUAUGAUAUAGAACACCGAUUGCGAAGGCAGCUUACUAAACAAUUAUUGACGCUGAGGCACGAAAGCGUGGGGAUCAAACAGG